rnacentral:rRNA from 3 species
UCGGUCCCUAUCUGCCGUGGGCGCUGGAGAACUGAGGGGGGCUGCUCCUAGUACGAGAGGACCGGAGUGGACGCAUCACUGGUGUUCGGGUUGUCAUGCCAAUGGCACUGCCCGGUAGCUAAAUGCGGAAGAGAUAAGUGCUGAAAGCAUCUAAGCACGAAACUUGCCCCGAGAUGAGUUCUCCCUGAGACUUAGAGUCUCCUGAAGGAACGUUGAAGACGACGACGUUGAUAGGCCGGGUGUGUAAGCGCAGCGAUGCGUUGAGCUAACCGGUACUAAUGAACCGUGAGGCUUAACCUU